rnacentral:rRNA from 1 species
CAAUACAGAGCCUUACGGUUUUGUAAUUGGAAUGAGUUAAGUAUAAACCCCUUAACAAGUAUCAAUUGGAGGGCAAGUCUGGUGCCAGCAGCCGCGGUAAUUCCAGCUCCAAUAGCGUAUAUUAAAGUUGUUGCAGUUAAAAAGCUCGUAGUUAAUCUUCUGUUAAUUUUUAUAUAUAAUAUCACGAUAUUUAUAUAAUAUUAACAUAAUUCAUAUUACUUUUUAGUAUAUGAAACUUUACUUUGAGAAAAUUAGAGUGCUUAAAGCAGG